rnacentral:rRNA from 1 species
UGAGUAACACGCNAUCCNACCUGCCGAUAACUCGGGGANAGCCUUUCGAAAGAAAGAUUAAUACCCGAUGGUAUAAUNANACCGCAUGGUCUUGUUAUUAAAGAAUUUCGGUUAUCGAUGGGGAUGCGUUCCAUUAGGCAGUUGGUGAGGUAACGGCUCACCAAACCUUCGAUGGAUAGGGGUUCUGAGAGGAAGGUCCCCCACAUUGGAACUGAGACACGGUCCAAACUCNUACGGGAGGCAGCAGUGAGGAAUAUUGGUCAAUGGGCGCAGGCCUGAACCAGCCAAGUAGCGUGAAGGAUGACUGCCCUAUGGGUUGUAAACUUCUUUUAUAUGGGAAUAAAGUUUUCCACGUGUGGAAUUUUGUAUGUACCAUAUGAAUAAGGAUCGGCUAACUCCGUGCCAGCAGCCGCGGUAAUACGGAGGAUCCGAGCGUUAUCCGGAUUUAUUGGGUUUAAAGGGAGCGUAGGUGGACAGUUAAGUCAGUUGUGAAAGUUUGCGGCUCAACCGUAAAAUUGCAGUUGAUACUGGCUGUCUUUGAGUACAGUAGAGGUGGGCGGAAUUCGUGGUGUAGCGGUGAAAUGCUUAGAUAUCACGAAGAACUCCGAUUGCGAAGGCAGCUCACUGGACUGCAACUGACACUGAUGCUCGAAAAGUGUGGGUAUCAAAACAGGAUUAGAUACCCUGGUAGUCCACACAGUAAACGAUGAAUACUCGCUGUUUUGCGAUAUACAGUAAGCGGCCAAGCGAAAGCAUUAAGUAUUCCACCUGGGGAGUACGCCGGCAACNGGUGAAACUCAAAGGAAUUGACGGGGGGCCCCGCACCAGCGGAGGAACAUGUGGUUUAAUUCGAUNGAUACGCCGAGGAAACCUUACCCCGGGCUUAAAUUGCAUUUUGAAUAUUUUGGAAAACAGUAUAGCCGUUAGGCAAAUGUGAAGGUGCUGCAUGGUUGUCGUCAGCUCGUGCCGUGAGGUGUCGGCUUAAGUGCCAUAACGAGCGCAACCCUUAUCUUUAGUUACUAACAGGUCAUGCUGAGGACUCUAGAGAGACUGCCGUCGUAAGAUGUGAGGAAGGUGGGGAUGACGUCAAAUCAGCACGGCCCUUACGUCCGGGGCUACACACGUGUUACAAUGGGGGGUACAGAAGGCAGCUACCUGGUGACAGGAUGCUAAUCCCAAAAGCCUCUCUCAGUUCGGAUCGAAGUCUGCAACCCGACUUCGUGAAGCUGGAUUCGCUAGUAAUCGCGCAUCACGCCAUGGCGCGGUGAAUACGUUUCCCGGGCCUUGUACACACCGCCCGUCAAGUCCAUGAAAGCCGGGGGUACCUGAAGUACGUAACCGCAAGGAGCUCCUAGGGUA